AUUCCAGCUCCAAUAGCGUAUAUUAAAGUUGUUGCAGUUAAAAAGCUCGUAGUUGAAUUUUGGACUUGGCUGGGCGGUCUUUGCGAAUGCAUUGCACUUCUCUGGCUGAGUCUUUCCUUCUGGCGAACUAUUGUGCUAUUUAUUUAGUGCGAUUGGGAACCAGGACUUUUACUUUGAAAAAAUUAGAGUGUUUAAAGCAGGCUUACGCUUGAAUACAUUAGCAUGGAAUAAUAAAAUAGGACUUUGGUUUUAUUUUGUUGGUUUUCGAAACCAAAGUAAUGAUUAACAGGGACAAUUGGGGGCAUUAGUAUUCAGACGACAGAGGUGAAAUUCUUGGACCGUCUGAAGACUGACUACUGCGAAAGCAUUUGCCAAGAGUGUUUUCAUCA
rnacentral:rRNA from 1 species